rnacentral:rRNA from 1 species
GACGAACGCUGGCGGCGUGCUUAACACAUGCAAGUCGAACGGAAAGGCCCUGCUUGCAGGGUACUCGAGUGGCGAACGGGUGAGUAACACGUGGGUGAUCUGCCCUGCACUUCUGGAUAAGCCUGGGAAGCUGGGUCUAAUACCGGAUAGGAGCCACUUUUAGCGUGAUGGUUGGAAAGUUUUUUCGGUGUAGGAUGAGCUCGCGGCCUAUCGGCUUGUUGGUGGGGUAAUGGCCUACCAAGGCGGCGACGGGUAGCCGGCCUGUGAGGGUGGACGGCCACAUUGGGACUGAGAUACGGCCCAGACUCCUACGGGAGGCAGAAGUGGGGAAUAUUGCACAAUGGGCGCAAGCCUGAUGCAGCGACGCCGCGUGGGGGAUGACGGCCUUCGGGUUGUAGACUCCUUUCGCUAGGGACGAAGCUUUUUGUGACGGUACCUAGAUAAGAAGCACCGGCUAACUACGUG